rnacentral:rRNA from 1 species
CAGCCGCCGCGGUAAUACGGAGGGUGCAAGCGUUAAUCGGAAUUACUGGGCGUAAAGCGCACGCAGGCGGUCUGUCAAGUCAGAUGUGAAAUCCCCGGGCUUAACCUGGGAACUGCAUUUGAAACUGGCAGGCUAGAGUCUUGUAGAGGGGGUAGAAUUCCAGGUGUAGCGGUGAAAUGCGUAGAGAUCUGGAGGAAUACCGGUGGCGAAGGCGGCCCCCUGGACAAAGACUGACGCUCAGGUGCGAAAGCGUGGGGAGCAAACAGGAUUAGAUACCCCUGUAGUCCCUGUCUCUUAUACA